rnacentral:rRNA from 1 species
UAAAUAGCCGCAACUCGUGCUAAGGUAGCAUAAUCAUUUGUCUUUUAAAUGAAGACUAGAACAAAAGAUAUAAUAUUUAAAUAUAUAUAUUUAACUUUAAUAUUAAACUUAUCUCAAAUAUAAAAAGAUAUUUAUUUUUCAAAAAGACGACAAGACCCUAUUGAACUUAACUUAAGUUAAACUGGGGCAGUUAAUUAAUUAAUAUUUUAAAAUAUAAUUUAUCUUUACACAUCCAAAACAAUUGAAUUAUUAAGUUACCAUAGGGAUAACAGCACAAUUUUUUUUUAAAGCUCUCAUUAAAAAAAAAGAUUGUGACCUCGAUGUUGAAUUAAUAACCUAAUUUUAAAGCAAACUUUAAAAAAGGAAGUCUGUUCGACUUUUAAAAAAUUACAUGAUUUGAGUUCAGACCGGUAUAAGCCAGGUCGGUUUCUAUCUUUUAUAAAUAAUUUUACAGUACGAAAGGACCUAAAAAUUUGAUUAUAAUCAAAUUAAUUGGCAGAAAAAUGCAUUAGAAUUAGAAUCUAAUAAAACU